UGAGGAAUAUUGGGCAAUGGACGCAAGUCUGACCCAGCCAUGCCGCGUGAAGGAUGAAGGCGUUCUGCGUUGUAAACUUCUUUUAUCAGGGAAGAAAACUAUGGUUUCUACUAUAGCCGACGGUACCUGAGGAAUAAGCACCGGCUAACUCCGUGCCAGCAGCCGCGGUAAUACGGAGGGUGCAAGCGUUAUCCGGAUUCACUGGGUUUAAAGGGUGUGUAGGCGGGCAGUUAAGUCAGUGGUGAAAUCUCCGGGCUCAACCCGGAAACUGCCAUUGAUACUAAUUGUCUUGAAUCUUGUUGAGGUAGGCGGAAUAUGUCAUGUAGCGGUGAAAUGCAUAGAUAUGACAUAGAACACCGAUUGCGAAGGCAGCUUACUAAGCAAGCAUUGACGCUGAGGCACGAAAGCGUGGGGAUCAAACAG
rnacentral:rRNA from 1 species